rnacentral:rRNA from 1 species
AUUGAACGCUGGCGGCAUGCCUUACACAUGCAAGUCGAACGGCAGCGGGGACUUCGGUCCGCCGGCGAGUGGCGAACGGGUGAGUAAUGUAUCGGAACGUACCAUUCAGUGGGGAUAACUAUCCGAAAGGAUAGCUAAUACCGCAUAUUCUGUGAGCAGGAAAGCAGGGGAUCGCAAGACCUUGCGCUGAUUGAGCGGCCGAUAUCAGAUUAGCUAGUUGGUGAGGUAACGGCUCACCAAGGCUACGAUCUGUAGCGGGUCUGAGAGGAUGAUCCGCCACACUGGGACUGAGACACGGCCCAGACUCCUACGGGAGGCAGCAGUGGGGAAUUUUGGACAAUGGGCGCAAGCCUGAUCCAGCCAUGCCGCGUGAGUGAAGAAGGCCUUCGGGUUGUAAAGCUCUUUCGGCCGGGAAGAAAUCGCAUCAGCUAAUACCUGGUGUGGAUGACGGUACCGGAAUAAGAAGCACCGGCUAACUACGUGCCAGCCGCCGCAGUAAAAC